GAGACCUAACUUAUGCGCAUGCGUAAACUACGGAUAUCUAGACGCAGGUAAGGGGAUGCCACCCUUGUUUCAUUAACUCAGUUCGAAAUAACAUGUGCACGAGGGAACACUGCUGUUUCAGAAUUUCUGCUGCUUAGCGAUAUCAAAUGCCGUAACACCCAACAAAUUGCCGAUCUUGCGAAUUUGUAACGAUUUUUUGUGUUUCUGAUGUUUGCUGCUUGCUAUUUAUAAUAAAUGUGGUAAUAAAUAAGGCGUAUGUUUUCACAUAUCAUAUUACUUUGACUGAAAAAAUGUAAUGUUUUAAAAAAGUCUAAGUACAAAAUAAAAUUAACUUUUUGCUAUCAGUUCAGCUUCUACUUUAGAAAUAAUACUUAGCGACUACCUCCUUUUUCAAUCUUUAAAACAAAUUGUUUUAGGGAAUUAAAAAUAUAUUGUUGCACGUAUUUUAUUAAAAAAACAUAUGUACCAUACAGCUAAAAUGUAGUUUGAAUCACAUGUCUAACUUUACUUGCGGGCACAGAAUGUAAAGGUCGUUAGAGCGAGAACAUGUUAUUCAAACUCUUCUUACUUAAGCAAUAUUCCUAAGUACAAAAUCGAUACAGGGGUAGACGUCACAUCAGCUGGUAGACGGGGCAUCGAUCCAGUCGUAGGCACAACUCUAAACUUGUAUUUAUGUAUAGUUUACAGUUUGAUUCACAUUUUAAUAUUAUGUCACCUUAAUACUCUUGUGUCGUUGGUAUUGAGUGGCACUAGUAGAUAAAUGUAGUAGUACUAGUAGUAAAUAAUAUUUAAACAUUAA